UGGCCCCAGAAUUGAGCCUUGUGGCAUGCCCAGAUUGCAGUUUUGAAAGGAUGAUAUUGAACCAAUAAUUUUAACACAUUGCUGUCGAGAUUCCAGAAAAGAUUUAAACUAGCUGAGGGUAUUUGUGGCAAAAUUUAGACAUUUGAGUUUAUUUAAAAGUGAAUCAUGGUUUACAGUAUCAAAGGCCUUUUUCAGAUCCAAAAAUACCACUCCUACAAUUUUACCAUCAUCUAAUGAUUUCUUAAUGGUUUCUGCAAGAUAGCAUGUGGCCAUUUCUGUUAAGUAUCCAAAUGGGAAACCAAAUUGUUUGGGGUGGAGGAGCUGGUUGUUGUUAAGAAAGGUGAUCAGUUCCUCUGCUACUACCUUUUCCAGAACUUUUGAGAUUGCAGAGAGAAUUGAAAUAGGCCUGUAGUUGCAGGCUUUGUCGGGGUCGCCAGUUUUAUGUAUUGGAGUGAUAACUCCUUGUUAUAAUAAUGAAGGAAAUUCACCAGCAUGAAUAGAUACAUUUAUCAGAUGAGUUGUGGGCUUUGAUAGAGUGUUGUGCUUUUUUAUGAAUUCAGUGUCCAAUCCGAAGAUAUCUUUAGUCUUUGAAUUAUGAAGUUGAUUGAUUAUUUGUUGUAUUUUGCUUUCAUCAGUCAGAUGGAUGAAAAAAGAGCUUGGUGUGUCCUGAGAUGUUUAACGUAACUGUUGGUUGAAAUUUUGCUGCCAGUGAUACAGUUGAAGGUUAAGGAUUAUUAAAGAAUUUUGUAUACUUAUCUGCAUACUUUGCAAACUUUCUGCAAAUUAGGCAUUUGUUGACAAACAGUCCAUGUAACAUGAUGAUUAAUAAGGAAUUAAUGAGCGCUUUUCAGCAGCCUUUUGAUUGGUAUUUGACAGAUCUCUUUAAUUGAUAUGUGGUAUAUUACUUACAGGCUAUUGUCAUAGCCAUAGCAUGUUAUGCAUGUCUUUUGGGUUAGUGUCCCUGCAGAAGAAUGAAAAUUCUAAUUAUUUUGUUGGACUAGAACACAAAAAAGGGGGGUGAACUAGUAUUAAUUUGGUUGUCAGCUGAUCAGCUGCUCCUGGAGGUACCGAGGUCCAAACGGAAGCUCAGAGGGGAUAGAUCUUUUUCUGUUGCUGCCCCAAUUUUAUGGAACGAGCUACCCCUCCAAACUAGACAAGCCCCCACACUGUCCAUUUUUAAAACUCGUCUUAAAACCCAUUUUUAUUCAUUGGCUUUUAACCCUGCAUGAGACUCGGCUCCUGUUUUAGUGUUCUAUGGUUUGUUUUUAGUUAUCUGUUUCUAUGUUUUUAAAUUAGUUUUUAAAAACAUUGAAGCUAUAUUUUAUUAUUAAUUCUGCUUUUAUUUUAUCCAUUGUUUUAUAUGGUUCUUGAUUGUUUUUUAUCUUGUUGUUUUGUCCUGCUAUGUACAGCACUUUGUACAGCUGUGGUUGUUUUAAAGUGCUCUACAAAUAAAGUUGAGUUGAGUUGAUGAAAUACAACUUAGUAGAAUCUAAUAUUCAAGCUUGCAUAUAAUUUCUUAGGCCUGCAUGUGUUUAAUUUAUAAUUAGUUGUAAAAACAAUAAUUAAGGGUCAGAGUGUUGUAGCCAUUUCAUAUUUAAGACAUUAUUUAUAACUUUGCGUCUUUUUUGUUUGGUUGAAUCUAAGCACAGUUGAUUUAUUGGUCUAAAAUUCUGACGCUAUUGUUUUUGGUCACAUGAUUGUGGUCACACGACACGGCUGGUGGUGUCAGUCUGCCAGUGUCAGGCAGGUGAAGGUGGUGGUUUUAUAUAGUUUUUGACUACAAAUGUAUAUUGGACUUGUUUCUUAGUUAAAGCAGAACUUUCGCUAUCUUUGAAUUUAAUAUAAAUUUUCAAGAAGCUUUUGUGGACACUUUAUUUUAUUUUUUUAAAUAAAUUCUUCGAAUUGUAAGUGGCUGUUUUUUUUAGAGUGCGUCCUAAUGCCACAGGCCAUUUGUUGCCGCAACAUGUAUUGUCAGACUAAAGACCAGAUAUGUCAGUUGACAUAGCUAGGUAAAGCCAGCCAAAGCUUUGACUAGUUGGACUAAAGUAGGUCUUAGGCUCAAGUUGGUAGUUUCAAGUGUGAGACCUAUGUUGCAUUGCUUGACUGACAGCGUGCGCAGCUCUCUCUACUAAUGGGAAAAACAAAACUUGCGUAAGCCUGCCCUGACUAAAACAGCAGACAUGAAAGGCUCUGGUGUUAAUAUCGAGCUCUUGAAACAUGGGAUUGGUACCCAACUGCCUGCUCUGCUUGGUUGUUUCCUGAUUAUUCAAAAUCUGAGACUAAUCCUGGUGUUCUUUGUGGCAUAUGGCUUUUCUUUUGAUGGUAACGUGGAGAGUAGCUCUACUUUUUUCCUUUAUUUUGUUGUCGUUGCUUUUGUUCCUGCUGCAGUUUGCUGUCAGAAGUGCAUUCCUUUGUGGCUACAUGUGGCUCAAGCUCCACAGGCAUGUUUAAUUGGAGUAGCAAGUUAGGACUUGUCCUUGGUCUUCCAAAGCUAGAAGAAGUUACAUGGUAUACUGAUGCGGUGUGUGGGUGUUUGUGUGAGUGUGUAUGCAUAGUUCACUUUAAGCAACAUUUUAAAAGCAGGAUCAGAUCAGGGAUUCUUAGCCUGAUCUACUAAGAUCCCAAAUAAUGAGCGCUAAACUGUGUGUGCCAACUAUAAAGUUGCAUGUGCUAUUAGUGGGCGUGUUGAAGGUGAUCUACUAUCAUUGUGUGCGCAAUUAAUAACAGGUGUAAAAGUGGUGCGGACUGCCCUCUUUAAACUUGGACUUUGCAUGCGCCACCAGCUGACACCAUUGAGAAUUGGGGAUAGCAGAGUGGUUGUAGAUGAAAAAUGCAGUUUGAAGCAUUAGCUGAAGUCUGAAGUUUUAGUUGCACAUCAUUUUGGAGAGGCAAGCAAAUCAAAUUUUUAACAGCAUGGGGUGCGCCACCCUCUGCCACGCCACUGUCGAGUACAAAAAAAGAGCCCACUAUAUCCAAUCUGAACUGAAUUUUUCAGGUUUGAUGAUGAGCCUUGCCUGAACUGAUCAACAUAUAUAUUGUAACUUCAAUGUUUGCUGUGUUUUUGUACUAUGACCAAACAUUCUGGCUUUACUUUUGAGAAGCUGUCAUGUAGUGCAUCCUUUCUGCUCCCUCUAAGCAGCUAACAAACUAAAUUCAGAUUGUCUUGCUCUAGUAAUACUAUAUCAUAAGGAAAACAUAUUGACUCCCCCCCCCAAAAAAAAUAAAUAAAUAAAUAAAUAAAUGGAAUUGCAUGUUUGGCCUGUGCAGUUUGCUUGGGAAAGUCUGCUGAUUGUUUGGCUCUUGGUUUUACUCAGAUUCAUUGUUUUCUUGCACAGUUCCCUCUCCUCCAUAGUUGUCCCUGCCUCCAGUUUUAUAUCCCCGAGCUUAAUGUGAGCACUAAAGCAGCUCUGCACAUAUUGGAGGUACUUUUGCAUCUGGAGGGAAAGUGUUUGGCAUUAAGUUUGUAAAUGUAAAUGUGUCUACAUGGCUAAUAGUCAGACGAGGACUGUUUGCCUGCAGCAUGUUUGGCUCAUCCAGCACAAAUGGUAUGUUUAAUUCUCACUGUUAAUGGUGAAUUAACUCCGGACCAAUAAAAGAUGCAGCUGAAAAUGUCUUAACUGACUAAACAUACAGUGUAUAAUGAAAAAAGAUGUAGUCUUGAAAUUAAUCUCUUUCCUUUCUUUUGAGUUCUCAGUUAAUGUCUGUAGCAUAGUUAUUAAUGUGGUUUUGCAGAUGUCUUUUUAGAUGAACUGAACAUUUAUGCCAAAUAAUAAGUAGGCAGACCUGUAUUUAAACCUAUGGCAUUGUGUUCCUAAAUUUAAAGCCUAUAAUGACACAAAACUUGGAAAGACAGUGAACCUUUUCUUUUUUUUUUUUUUAAUCCAGAACUGAAUCUCAUCAGUUUGGAUAGAGAGAGAGUGGGAAGUUGUGUUUAGUAUCUUUGCUAAAUAAAUUCAGCAAAGUUAAAAAGAUGUUUGGUGGCUAGCACUAUCCCUGGGACCCUAUAUGUACUGUUGAUGAAGUUAGGUGCUGUUCUGAGCAUUGUUUGUGACUAUAGAAUGAAUUUUUGGUUGAGGUUUAUGCUGGCUCCUUAGCCCGCUGUGUAUUGCUAUCGUGCAGUCGUGACUGAAGUUGAUAUAACUAGAGAAGUAAGCAGUCAGCAACAUUCAUCUCUUGAGGGGGGUGUCUAACCUGGCAUUAUGGUUUGUUUGACCCGUAAUUAGUUUUACGCCGGAAUAUCGCUUCAACUCAAAAAUUUGAAAUUAUUGCUAAAACUUCAUACUUUUUCUUGUUUAAAUAAUGACCGUUUUUAAUGAAUUUUUAUUACUUUAAAUUACCUCUUCACUCAUGUAAAUACAACAAUGUGGGUUCAAAAUGUUUCUAAAUUUGAUGGGGAAUAUGAAAAUAUGGCAGCAUAUGUGUCAAGAGUGAGGGCUGAAAAUAAAUGAUUGGAAAUGUUUUAUUAGCACAGGGGAAUGCUCAUCAAAAACAUAUGAAAUGGAAUGUGGCGUUCCACAGGAUGAGAUUUUAGGUCCUACACUUUUUAAUCUUUACAUGUUGCCAUUAGGAGACAUCAUCAGGAGGCAUACCAACUUUCACAGCUAUACUGAUGACACACAGCUUUACAUUGACAUGUCUCCUGAUGGCACUGGGCCCAUUUAUGCCCUUUUAAAUUGUAUUUUAGACAUCCAGUCCUGGAUGGCUGACAACUUUUCGCUGCUAAAUCAGGACAAAACAAAGAGAGAAACUGGAGAAAAAACUCUGAGUUCUAGCUCUUAAUCCGUGCAAAGAGGUUAAAAAUCCAAAGUGCGCCAGUUUCUUUCUCAAGUCAAUGCAGAAACUCUUAUUCAUGCUUCUAUCGCAUGUAGAAUAGACUAUUGCAAUGCUCUCCUCUCUGGUCUUCCUAAUAAGAACAUUUCACAGCCUCAGCUUCUACAAAAUCUACAAAAUUCAGCUGCAUGCAUGCUGAUGAAGACCAGGGAGAGAGCCCACAUCACACCAAUUUUAAAAUCUCUUCACUGGCAACCCAUCUCUUUUAAAGUAGAUUUUAAGGCUCUUUUAUUAGGUUUUAAAGCUCUUAAUGGUCUUGGUCCUUCUUAUUCAUCUGAUUUGCUUUAACCAUAUGGGCCUAGUAGAGCCCUCAGGUCUACAGGUAGUGGUCUUUUAAUUCCUCCCAAAGUAAAAACUAAAACAUACAGUGAAUCGUCGUUCCAAUAUUACGGCCCCCUGUGGAAUGGAGUACCUGCAGACCUGAAAGCGACACUUACUGUUCAUAUUUU